GUAGGCAGCCUGGUAGCUAAGUCGGUAGAGCAUCGGAACGGUAUUCCGUAGUCCCGGGUUCGAGUCCCGGUCUGGCUGCACAUUUUCUCACACUGUGACACUAGUGAUUUCAUUUUUGUGGCGAUUGUCGUCAGACAAUAGCCACAGAGUCGGCACAAACCAUGGAGGUAUUAUAGAGCAUCUCUAUAUUACCUCCAUGCACAAACUAAAUCAACAGCAACAACAACAACAACUCUCGAACGAAUCGGAAAAAGCCGAAAAUAGCCGAAGAAAAGUAUAAGGUAGUUUUGACGAGAUGAGACUGAGAUGCAAAAAAACCUAAUAACUGCAAAUGUUUUUCUAAAUUAUCAAAAAUUGCAACUGGAGAUGCACCUGAUUACCCUGAUUAUCGUCUUCAUAAUAACUUAUUCCGUGUUGGUUUUUACAUGCACUAUUUCUUGUAGCGAACUAAACGUACUAUUUUUGCAGGAAUUUAUAUAAAUACGCGCAGUUACGCCGUUGUUGUUUACUGUCGAUCUCUUGCACUUCCGGUGAUAUUUCAUUAAGGUGAGAAUCACGAACGACAACUCUGCUCGGAGAUUGGUUUACUAUACGCAGGGAAGAAGAGCACAUAUACCCAAUAAAGUACUGUAUACCUCUUAAUGAGAAGAGAAGUAAGUAAGUGUUAUUUAAUCGAAAUGUGAAAAGUUUUGCACUUUAAAUGUUGAUGAUCCUGUCGCAAUAUUCUUUGCUAUAUCCAUAACAAAAACUAGCAAAAACCAAAGGACAGAUAACUCUUGCAAACACCUGAUUCACAAUUUCAAAAAAAAAAAAUGUGACCCCAAUAAAAUUUAAACGCUUGAAUACUGUAUCAUUGAAAAUCAUAUGAAAACGCCUUUUUAACCUAGCUUAUUGUGUUGCAUAGAAGGUAUCCUAAAAGCUGUAUGAUUUUUAAGUCGGGGAAGUAUGGAGAUUGGAAAUUAUGCACUGCUUUCCAAAGUGAAACUGAAAGUAGAUGGACCAUGUAUUUGAAUGGGCUAAAAUUUAAUUUUUAUUUUUUACUGAAAUUAUUAUGGCUGCAUAAACUCUCUAAAGAAACAAGACAUAUUUUUUCUCCUUUUUGCCUGGAUUUCAAUGACUGCUUGAGUCUUGAUCACGUUUUAUGACACGUAAUAGUUCAUUCAUGCUUGUGAGUUGUAAUGCAUGUCUGAGUAACAAGCAACCUUUUGUGAAAGAUCCAAAAUAAACUUCUUUAGUCUGACAAGUCUAAAUAAUAGGACGUUUCGGGACAGCGGUAGGAAAUCCCAGAUGAAUUUCCGUCGCUGAGUGGCUGCUUUUUAAUUUCUGACUUAUUUUUGACCGUCACAAUAUAAAACAGUAUAAAACAAACUGUAUACGUCGGAUUUGUACAAAGUAUUUGUAAUGGUUACUUCUCUGAUAAUGAAUUUAUGUUGACAUUGAAGCGUAAACUUGCCUCACUGACAUUUUAUGAAUGUAUAUUUUGUGUUUAAUGUUUCUGAAAUAUAGUUGUUUAAUGAAAACCGGUGUCAGAGUUGAUAUCUCCUCGCAUCUGUAACAUCAUUUUUUCGAAGAUUAAAGUCUCUUGUUUGAAAAUACGGAUUAAAUUCAACCCAGUUUUAGUCUGUACAUGAGUAUUAGUGUUUUGCUUAUUAAAGCAAGUAAGUCAUACCAGUAUAUUAUAAUAUUUUUGGAUUUUUUAAUGUCUUUGUUUUCCUGAUAUGGGUCAGGCUUAGAAUGACGUCAAUUACUGAUAGAAUAUCAGAUCAUAAAAUAAGUCAUCCCGAAAAGCCAAAUUAGUAAGACUACAGUCCGAUUUGAUACCUUCAGUCCGUCCGGAUAAGUCAUCUGCAAAUACUACAGUCUAUUUGAUGCAAAUUGUUCAAUUAUACAUGCAAUCGUGACAUAAUGACAGAAUCACACUUUAAAGUACGUUGAAAUAUCUCCGAUGCGGCAAUUUCAUGUCAGUUAAAUUGAUGAAAUUCUGUGGCUUAUUCUCAAGAAUACCAGUGUGUAAUUUCAAACUUUUUUGAGAACAUCAUAAUUUACCCUUUAUUGAAAAUUGAGUCAUGCUUAUAGCUUCUCUCGUGUCCGGAUGAAGUUGAUGACCAGAGCUUCCUGAUCCGGCCACUACACUAUUUUAAUCAGGUUCAACUCACUGCUUGCUUUUAACAUAAAAAAGUAGGCAACAUGAAGUUAUAGUUAUGAAAAUACAUUCCUUUUUUAGGAAAAAUGAUGCUCACAUUAUCAGGGAUGGGGAAACUAACUUAAUUAUAGUUUUUCAGUCAUUUGACAGUAAAGUAAGAAAUUUUGGUAAGAUGUUUGAUAUAAAUCAGACUGAAAAUUGAAAAAGCUGUUACGUACUACAGUAAGUCACUUAUUUUCAUGGUUUAUAUUAAUUAUAGUUGGUUUAUUUAUUUAUUUAUUUAUUUAGGUUUUUUUUAAUGUUUAACGUGAAAGGUGAAAAAUUGCUUGUUCUGGCCACGGGGGUUUACGAUAAAAAUUCGCUAUUUUAUUAUGAUAAUGAAAUAUUUUCAAACAACUUAUUGUAAUUGAUAUGGUAUUAGAGUAAUCUAGAACAACGCAACAUGGUGUCUAAAAAUUACACAAAAAUAACACAAAAGUUGCUGGAGAAGUUGAGAAAAAAUAGUAAUCUUUUAUCACUACUUGUUGUCGUUUCAUUUCCCGCAGAGCAAAAUUUCAUAAAAAAUUGGAGAAAGAAAAAGAAAAGGGUGAAGUUUUAUGUUUUGAAUUAUUCACCUUUACAUCCCCAAUACACUAAAGCCCUGGUCCGCGGCUAUUCAAAUUCUAUUGUGUCACUGUGUAUGCAACCCAUAAUUACAAUAGAUAAUAGAUAACGGCCACACACCACACCUUAGCACGCAAAACCGCAUAUAAAAUAGCCUCUAUUUUGACAGGCGUCACUGUUCAUGAUCAGGAUUUUCAUGGUGUUAGGACUGGAGCAGGUCUUUAAAUAAAUUAUAUUUAGAUAUAAUGUACCUGUAGGACAAAAGUGUUUUUUUUUUAUUGAACUGUGUUUAGCAAAAUUAUAUUGUUACUUUUAGAUGGCAAACAUCAGUACUGUCUUCAGUGACCGGGAAAAGGGACCCUACAAACAGAGCGCUGAAAGUUAGAGAUGUAGCUGCGGAUCAGCUUGUUAAGUACAGGGCAAAGGGAUGGCAGCAAGGGGUCAUCACUGAUGACUGUUAUCAGUGAUGGCAAAAAUUUCCAAAAUUUAAAGUGGGUACAGCCCUUAUCCUCAGGGACAUCAGAAGAAGAAUUGAAACUGAAGUGACUGUUGUUGUUACAAGUGCAACAAAGGUUUUUAUAUCUGCACCGAUAGAGGAGCCAGCAGAUCUGAAAGCAGAGGGAGUCAGUCUGCUCAUCCGUCCACCCACUAAGACAGUACCCAUCACUACAGCAAUGGCACCCCCCGCCCCAAAGAAGAAAGUAUGAAUUUUAGGAAAGAUGGCACAGAAGUGUGAUGCGCCUGUUGAGGACACAAACGUACAGGUUGAGGCAAUCGGAUUAGAUGGAGAUUAUGUUUAGCUGUUCUUGAUACUGAGGACUUUAUCAUUUAUAACGUCCAAAUUUUGAAGGAAGUGCUGGCCAGUGAUACUGUCAGUGCAGAUGACAUAGAUGUAGAAAUGGAAACGUUGUCCGGCCGCUUCACUUAAAUUAAAAAAAAAACGGCAGUCAAGUCCUAUCAGAAGUGAACUGAGUUUCUCUAAAAAGAAAAAAAUCUAUCUGUUUUAAAGCUGCUUACCAGCAUUUUCUGGUGAUGAAACCUAUUCCUAAAAAUUACUUAAUUGUUUUAAAGGAAGGAUGUUAAUAAAAAAAUGAUAUUUUGAAGAAUUUUAAAGACACUUUACAUAAAAUGUUCACCACAUUUAGAAGACAUGCAAAGGUCAUGAAAGAAACCCAAUUAUAAGUAGUCUAUGUUGAUUAUAAAUGCUAAUGAUACAGUAUGAAAAAGUUUCAAGGCAAAAAAUGUGUCAACUUGUAGUGCUUAUUUUCAAAUUAUACUCCAGAAGAACUGGCAUGUACUAUUUGUUUGGUUUUAACAUGUAAAAUUUGUAUUAGAUUAUUACAUGUGUUACAUAUAUAAAAGACGUUAUUAUGCGCGCCA
rnacentral:lncRNA from 1 species